UACGGGGGGGGCAAGCGUUGUUCGGAAUUACUGGGCGUAAAGGGCUCGUAGGCGGCCAACUAAGUCGGACGUGAAAUUCCCAGGCUCAACCUGGGAACUGCGUCCGAUACUGGAUGGCUUGAAUUCGGGAGAGGGAUGCAGAAUUCCAGGUGUAGCGGUGAAAUGCGUAGAUAUCUGGAGGAACACCGGUGGCGAAGGCGGCAUCCUGGACCGGCAUUGACGCUGAGGCGCGAAAGCCAGGGGAGCAAACGGG
rnacentral:rRNA from 1 species